rnacentral:lncRNA from 1 species
AUUACCACCGACCAGUCCUCAGCCGGCAACAUGAAGCUGGGUGGCCUCUGCCUCCUGCUCCUCCUCGCCGUCCUUCUCACCCUCAAUGCAGAGUUCCAAGCAGUUGUAGGUAUCUGUGUGACGGAGUGCAAGGUAGACCAGGACUGUGGGGCAGGAAGACGAUGCACCAGCAAUGGAUGUGGCCGGGUCUGCUCCCCAGUCCGGCGAAGAGAGGCCUGCGAGCACCAGUGCAGAGAAGACAGGGACUGUGGGAGUGGACAUCAGUGCGUGAGGAAGGGCUGUGGGCACGUCUGCGCCCCCGUCCAUCAAGUCGAUGUAGGUAUCUGUGUGACGGAGUGCCGUGUAGACCAGGACUGUGGGGCAGGAAGACGAUGCACCAGCAAUGGAUGUGGCCGGGUCUGCUCCCCAAUCCAGCGAAGAGAGGCCUGCGAGCACCAGUGCAGAGAAGACAGGGACUGUGGGAGUGGACAUCAGUGCGUGAGGAAGGGCUGUGGGCACGUCUGCGCCCCCGUCCAUCAAGUCGAUGUAGGUAUCUGUGUGACGGAGUGCAAGGUAGACCAGGACUGUGGGGAAGGAAGACGAUGCACCAGCAAUGGGUGUGGCCGUGUCUGCUCCCCAGUCCAGCAAAAAGAGGCCUGCGAGCACCAGUGCAGAGAAGACAGGGACUGUGGGAGUGGACAUCAGUGCGUGAGGAAGGGCUGUGGGCACGUCUGCGCCCCCGUCCAUCAAGUCGGUAUCUGUGUGACGGAGUGCAAGGUAGACCAGGACUGUGGGGAAGGAAGACGAUGCACCAGCAAUGGAUGUGGCCGUGUCUGCUCCCCAGCCCAGC